CGCACGGCUGAGGAACACGUGACUAACCUACCCCGGUGUGGGGGAUAACGGGUCGAAAGACUCGCUAAUCCCGCAUACGAUCCGCCUCGGCGGAGGAAAGCCGUAAGGCGCACUGGGCGGGGGUCGCGUCCCAUUAGAUAGUUGGUGUGGUAAUGGCGCACCAAGUCGAUGAUGGGUCUCUGGUCUGAGAGGACGACCAGACAGAUUGGGACUGAGACACGGCCCAAACUCCUACGGGGGGCAGCAGCAAGGAAUUUUCGGCAAUGGGCGCAAGCCUGACCGAGCAACGCCGCGUGGAGGAUGACGGCUCUUGGGUUGUAAACUCCUUUUGGGGGGGACGAUAAUGACGGUACCCUCCGAAUCAGGCCCGGCUAACUACGUGCCAGCAGCCGCGGUAAUACGUAGGGGCCAAGCGUUGUCCGGAAUUACUGGGCGUAAAGCGUGGGUAGGUGGUCGGUGAUGUGCCGCGUGAAAGCGCCGGAGUAAUGCCGGCGAGGUCGCGGUAGACACACGGACUCGAGGCUCGCAGAGGAACGUGGAAUUCCCGGUGUAGUGGUGAAAUGCGUAGAUAUCGGGAGGAACACCAGUGGCGCAAGCGGCGUUCUGGGCGAGACCUGACACUGAGCCACGACGGCGUGGGGAGCAAACAGGAUUAGAUACCCUGGUAGUCCACGCAGUAAACGAUGCAUACCAGGUGUGGGAUGGCGUUCGCGUCGUUCCGUGCCGCAGCUUACGCGAUGAGUAUGCCGCCUGGGGACUACGAGCGCAAGCUUAAAACUCAAAGGAAUUGACGGGGGCCCGCACAAGCAGC
rnacentral:rRNA from 1 species